UACGUAGGGUGCGAGCGUUGUCCGGAAUUAUUGGGCGUAAAGAGCUUGUAGGCGGUUUGUCGCGUCUGCUGUGAAAUUUCGGGGCUCAACCCCGAACUUGCAGUGGGUACGGGCAGACUAGAGUGUGGUAGGGGAGACUGGAAUUCCUGGUGUAGCGGUGAAAUGCGCAGAUAUCAGGAGGAACACCGAUGGCGAAGGCAGGUCUCUGGGCCAUAACUGACGCUGAGAAGCGAAAGCAUGGGGAGCGAACAGG
rnacentral:rRNA from 1 species